UGGUGGCCUUUUGGAUUUCCUGGGCGCUGCUGAGCAGUCUGAGCACUGAGAGCUCUGCGGGUCUCUGGGCAGGACGAGGCAAAUCAACACGGAGAGAGCAACCUGGUCAAUGAGAAGCACGUCAAUGGAGAUCCCCUCGUGAAUCAACGCUUGGCCUGGAACAAUCAGUUAAGUCUUUUGAUUUCUCGAAUUUGGUUUUCUCACCGAGCUCGGAAGCACCAAAGUGCGCGAUACUCGACGCUGCUUCCGUGCUGCUGGUCUGGAUUCACUGAGACGGCAUUAGAGACGGCAGAAAGAAUUUCAUUCACGUC